AACAUUAUAAAAUAACACAAAAAUAGUUUAGGAUCAAAUAC
rnacentral:misc_RNA from 1 species